AAUACGAAGGGACCUAGCGUAGUUCGGAAUUACUGGGCUUAAAGAGUUCGUAGGUGGUUGAAAAAGUUAGUGGUGAAAUCCCAGAGCUUAACUCUGGAACUGCCAUUAAAACUUUUCAGCUAGAGUAUGAUAGAGGAAAGCAGAAUUUCUAGUGUAGAGGUGAAAUUCGUAGAUAUUAGAAAGAAUACCAAUUGCGAAGGCAGCUUUCUGGAUCAUUACUGACACUGAGGAACGAAAGCAUGGGUAGCGAAGAGGAUUAGAUACCCUCGUAGUCCAUGCCGUAAACGAUGUGUGUUAGACGUUGGAAAUUUAUUUUCAGUGUCGCAGCGAAAGCGAUAAACACACCGCCUGGGGAGUACGACCGCAAGGUUAAAACUCAAAUGAAUUGACGGGGACCCGCACAAGUAGUGGAGCAUGUGGUUUAAUUCGAAGAUACGCGCAGAACCUUACCAACACUUGACAUGUUCGUCGCGACUCUAAGAGAUUAGAGUUUUCGGUUCGGCCGGACGAAACACAGGUGCUGCAUGGCUGUCGUCAGCUCGUGUCGUGAGAUGUUGGGUUAAGUCCCGCAACGAGCGCAACCCUCACUUUUAGUUGCCAUCAUUUAGUUGGGCACUCUGAAAGAACUGCCAGUGAUAAGCUGGAGGAAGGUGGGGAUGACGUCAAGUCCUCAUGGCCCUUACGUGUUGGGCUACACACGUGCUACAAUGGUAUCUACAACAGGAAGCAAGACUGCGAGGUCAAGCAAAUCCUUAAAAGAUACCUCAGUUCGGAUUGCACUCUGCAACUCGAGUGCAUGAAGCUGGAAUUACUAGUAAUCGUGGAUCAGCGUGCCACGGUGAAUGCGUUCCCGGGUCUUGUACACACCGCCCGUCACACCAUGGGAGUUGGUUCUACCUUAAGGCAAGGUUUAAAACCCUUGACCACGGUAUAGUCAGC
rnacentral:rRNA from 1 species